UAAGCGGGAAGCCCACCUCAAGAUUAGAUAUCCCAUCCUUUUGGACUGAAGACACCUCGAAGACUACGAGGCUGAUAGGCCGGAUGUGUACGUGCGGCAACGCAUUGAGCUAACCGGUACUAACGUGUCGUGAGGCUUAGCCA
rnacentral:rRNA from 1 species